AACAAGGCGUACCUGCGGACCUGCGGAAGGAUCAUUACCGAGUGCGGGCCCGCUCUGGGCCCAACCUCCCACCCGUGUCUCUUGCGUACUUUGUUGCUUUGGCGGGCCCACUGGGUCACUCCGGUCGCCGGGGGGCGCUAUGCUCCCGGGCCCGUGCCCGCCAGAGCACCCCUGUGAACCCUGAUGAUGAGAGGCUGUCUGAGUCCCACGAUAAUCGUUAAAACUUUCAACAAUGGAUCU
rnacentral:misc_RNA from 1 species